rnacentral:lncRNA from 1 species
AUGAAGUUCGUCAUCCAGCUUCUUUGAUUUCUUCAUAAGGUGACAAACUUUCCUUCUGAGGUCCCAAAUCAUCGACUUCAGAGGAACCCCCUGUGGUAGGGGAAGAGUUUCGGCAGGGCACUAUCAUUGGAAGAUAAGAGCACCACAACACAAAUUAGUGGAAGAAAAUAAAUGAGAAGAAAAAGAAUGCAGAGUAAGAUAAAGGAGCUC